rfam:Ricinus communis cultivar Hale ctg_1100012285295, whole genome shotgun sequence.
GUUGCUUCUUACUGGUGAACUCUUCCCUCAAAUAUCAGUGGAAAAUGUUCGUGUUUCCGAAGCAUAAAUUAAUUUUCCAGUAUUAAACAGCACAUGGAAUUUCUUUUUGAUUUCCACUGUACGAUUCUUUUAUAUAUAU